GCACACAUGCAAGUCGAACGGCAGCACAGGAGAGCUUGCUCUCUGGGUGGCGAGUGGCGGACGGGUGAGGAAUACAUCGGAAUCUACCUUUUCGUGGGGGAUAACGUAGGGAAACUUACGCUAAUACCGCAUACGACCUACGGGUGAAAGUGGGGGACCGCAAGGCCUCACGCGAUUAGAUGAGCCGAUGUCCGAUUAGCUAGUUGGCGGGGUAAUGGCCCACCAAGGCGACGAUCGGUAGCUGGUCUGAGAGGAUGAUCAGCCACACUGGAACUGAGACACGGUCCAGACUCCUACGGGAGGCAGCAGUGGGGAAUAUUGGACAAUGGGCGCAAGCCUGAUCCAGCCAUACCGCGUGGGUGAAGAAGGCCUUCGGGUUGUAAAGCCCUUUUGUUGGGAAAGAAAUCCUGUCGGUUAAUAACCGGUGGGGAUGACGGUACCCAAAGAAUAAGCACCGGCUAACUUCGUGCCAGCAGCCGCGGUAAUACGAAGGGUGCAAGCGUUACUCGGAAUUACUGGGCGUAAAGCGUGUGUAGGUGGUGGUUUAAGUCUGCUGUGAAAGCCCUGGGCUCAACCUGGGAAUUGCAGUGGAUACUGGAUCACUAGAGUGUGGUAGAGGGAUGCGGAAUUUCUGGUGUAGCAGUGAAAUGCGUAGAGAUCAGAAGGAACAUCCGUGGCGAAGGCGGCAUCCUGGGCCAACACUGACACUGAGGCACGAAAGCGCGGGGAGCAAACAGGAUUAGAUACCCUGGUAGUCCACGCCGUAAACGAUGAUAACUAGAGGCUUGAGCUGUUCGGUUUGGGUCUCGAAGCUAACGCGAU
rnacentral:rRNA from 1 species